UCCAAUAAUCAGUUCUUCCUAUUUCCUGUGAAAGUGUGUGAUCUGAGAUCACUUGAAAAGUUGAACAUCUGCCACAGAAGAGGCAUCAAGCUAACCACACUGCCAAAGACCUUGUCGAAAUUAAGAUGUUUGAGAGAACUGGACUUCUGUAGUGCAGCAGAUUCCCGAGAGCAUCAGAGAGCUGGAUCACCUUACUAAGCUGAUAGCCAAUAACAAUUCCUACCUACCCAAAUCUAUAACAUCCCUGCAAAGCUUACAGCAUCUUGAGUUGAAAGGGAAUCUUCUCCAGUCUUUACCUUCUGAUAUGGGCCAGCUCCAGUAUCUGAGGAAGUUGGAGCUGGAGGGGAAUCCUCUCACCAGAC